CCUACGGGAGGCAGCAGUGGGGAAUAUUGCGCAAUGGGCGAAAGCCUGACGCAGCGACGCCGCGUGAGGGAUGAAGGUCUUCGGAUCGUAAACCUCUGUCAGCAGGGAAGAACGGUCACUGUGCUAAUCAGCAGUGAAUUGACGGUACCUGCAAAGGAAGCACCGGCUAACUCCGGGCCAGCAGGCGCGGUAAUACGGAGGGUGGGAUCGUUAACCGGAAUUACUGGGCGUAAAGCGCUCGUAGGCGGUAUGUCAAGUCAAGGGGGAAAUCCCCGCGCUCAACGUGGGAACUGCCUUUGAAACUGGCAAACUGGAGUGUGUGAGAGGAUAGUGGAAUUCCAGGUGUAGGAGUGAAAUCCGUAGAUAUCUGGCGGAACAUCAGUGGCGAAGGCGACUAUCUGGCACAUAACUGACGCUGAGGAGCGAAAGCGUGGGUAGCAAACAGGAUUAGAUACCCUAGUAGUC
rnacentral:rRNA from 1 species